UUAAAUAUUAGGCAAAGCAGGUGAAAGCCUGUGGCGCAAAGCUAUAGGGACUUUAACAUGUCAGCCAGCUGCAUUC
rnacentral:ncRNA from 1 species